GACGAACGCUGGCGGCGUGCUUAACACAUGCAAGUCGAACGGUAAGGCCCUUCGGGGUACACGAGUGGCGAACGGGUGAGUAACACGUGGGUGAUCUGCCCUGCACUUCGGGAUAAGCCUGGGAAACUGGGUCUAAUACCGGAUAGGACCACUGCCUACAUGGGGGGCGGUGGAAAGCUUUUGCGGUGUGGGAUGGGCCCGCGGCCUAUCAGCUUGUUGGUGGGGUGAGGGCCUACCAAGGCGACGGCGGGUAGCCGGCCUGAGAGGGUGACCGGCCACACUGGGACUGAGAUACGGCCCAGACUCCUACGGGAGGCAGCAGUGGGGAAUAUUGCACAAUGGGCGCAAGCCUGAUGCAGCGACGCCGCGUGAGGGAUGACGGCCUUCGGGUUGUAAACCUCUUUCAGCACCGACGAAGCGCAAGUGACGGUAGGUGCAGAAGAAGGACCGGCCAACUACGUGCCAGCAGCCGCCGUAA
rnacentral:rRNA from 1 species